UGGUGGAGUGGUUUGUCUGGUUAAUUCCGUUAACGAACGAGACCUUAGCCUGCUAAAUAGCUACGCGUAGCUUCUGUUACGCGGGCAGCUUCUUAGAGGGACUUUGCGUGUCUAACGCAAGGAAGUUUGAGGCAAUAACA
rnacentral:rRNA from 1 species